CUCGUAGGCGGUUCGUCGCGUCCGGUGUGAAAGUCCAUCGCUUAACGGUGGAUCUGCGCCGGGUACGGGCGGGCUGGAGUGCGGUAGGGGAGACUGGAAUUCCCGGUGUAACGGUGGAAUGUGUAGAUAUCGGGAAGAACACCAAUGGCGAAGGCAGGUCUUUGGGCCGUUACUGACGCUGAGGAGCGAAAGCGUGGGAGCGAACA
rnacentral:rRNA from 1 species